rnacentral:rRNA from 1 species
UGUCGAGGUGGCUUCGCGGAAGGUGAAGCGGAGAGGAGGACUAAGCGUGUCGAAGAAGGGAAAAGCGGCAUUUUUGUGGGGCUGCAGUGGGAGGUAUGGGAUUGGGAUCUUUGUCUGCAGGUAGAGGUGGGGCCGCGCGCGGGCUGACGAGCCCCGUCGCCGCUACCCCUCCGCCUUCCUCGCGGCGGACCGCCGGUUCCGCCGGAGCCCGGCGUCCCAGUUCGAGCUGGAGAAGGAGCUAGGAAGGGGGCCCCUCCGUAGAUACUUUCUCCCUCAUCCUCUCCUUUUGGCACCCGUCGUUUGACCACAAGGGUGAAGUGGUAGAAGCAGUCUAUUCUUCCUUUUAGGAGAUCGCAACGAACCCGUUAUAUCACUACUACUUCUUCUCCUACUUCAUCGUUGUCUAGUUGGGUAACCACUUUGAUUCCCCUCGGGUUGUCUACGUUCACGACUCCAAUAAGUACUAGUCCCACUAUAUUGACCCCUAUUGCCGCUACGUCUAUCACUUGACGGACGAAGACAAUCACAAGUCGUCCUCCAUAGAGUUCGACUACUACAGUUUUAAUAGUGUCUUUGGCAACGAGUCCUUAAAUGACAACGGGGACUAGGUUGAGACCUUUUACUCACACACUGUCGUUACCUUCGACAGGGUCUAAGUAGACCGUACGUUUAACAACCACUGUAACCACCCUUAACCUUCCGAUAUUACGUACUUGUCUCAUUAGUCACGAUGAUGACCUUGUGUCAAUGUCCUCUUUGAAGAACCCUCUAAGGAUUACCUAAUCGAAGUCAUCAACGACGGCUACCUCAGUGAAGACGUAGACACGGAUGAGUAUACCCCAUGAGACAGCUUCGAGUUCGUGUACAGGAAGGGGUGUCAUUACAGCUUCGUAUAGGAUCACUGCACAGACAACCUUUACCGUGUCGUUGGAUAUGACGAUACCCUUGAAUAUGAGUACUAGGAAUACGAAUGUGACCUCGGCAACGAUCAGUACUCUGUCACCUGUAACUGGGGAACGUCGAACGUUUUAUACCACUCCUAAAUGACGUUUCUGACUUCGACGACCUUUCCGGUGUACAACGGUAACUGUCAGAACUCAACUAUUUUUCUCUUUAACUCUAUGCUUAUCGUCUGACAUUACGGGAGAGGAGCAUACCUAGAAGAAAUGAAGGCAACACCAACGUACGACUCCACGUGGAAUUCGUUGAUCUUGAAAGUCAAAGGUUCAAACUUCGAUCGAUGUGGUGGUUUGUACCUAUAGCCCUCUGUCACCUACGUCCUGUGUUUCGUGGAUUACUUCGACUUCAAUACCGUGGGAGACUCCCACUCGUAAACUUCCAACUACAAUCGUGAGACCCUUAUCCAUGACCGCUACUUUUAUAAUUCCAACUCCUUGGUACAUGUUGUAGUAGACAAGUCUUGAGUGUUCCACACCGUCGUCGAUAAAAUUCUCAACUUAGUCUAUCACUACUUCUAUACCUGCACCUUUACCUCCAGCUACUUCUUCCACAACUUCUCGUCCCGCCAAGGUGAAGAUACCGUUUAUUCCUCGUAGGAAGUAGUCUCGUUCACGCUAGUGGUCGAAACAGUAGUAACCUCCUAAGACGAGGAGGGGGUGUCCUAUUACUGUAAGGAGGUGGUGGUGGUGGUCUUCUCCUUACCUAAGGUGGAGGUGGUGGACUCUUACUUGGUCGAGGAGGUGGAGGAGGACUCGGACUUCUCGGGCGACACAGUAAACAAUUACGACUAUGUGAAGGAGUCGGUAUACCUCUAGUUCGUUUGAACCCAAUAUGCGAAGGUCCUUACCUCAUGAUAGGACGACGACCAUGUCUACCGUGGUUACGGUUGAUGAUAUACGUUCGUUCGCUAAGAGUAUAAGAAGUUAGUGUCGUCGUAAGAAUGAUACGUGGUAACAGACGUUCACCGCAUAGAUAAGGACAACUCUGGUGUAGGUAGGGGGGUCAUGGUCCAAGAAUAAUAUCGAUAGGAAGGCAGUGAUACCGACGGUGACUUCAUCGCCGACUUAGAAGACCUAUGAUACGAAGUAGUUGGAGACGGUAAAGAUCACCACUUAAUCUAUUGUUUUGUUCGAACCGGAGGGAACAACGUUUAUCAUUACACUUAUGACACCUCAGACUAUUUCACUAUAGGUUCCUCGGGUGUCAACGCAGAAACUCGGUUAGUCAUCCUCGUCAUAGAAGUCCUGGUUGUCAUGUACCUUCAAGAUGAGUUCGAAGAUGAUCGAGGUGAUUAGUCUGAUUUCAAGGAGCAUGAUUCUUCGCUGGACAACGACAACGUAGUAGUGACUCUAGAUUAUUCUUCCAGAGUUCAGACCACCUAUUCACCUUUCGACGUUUCCUCCUCGAAGCACUACUUCUCCUUCUCCUCGGACUUCUACGAAACCUCAUGGAUCUUUCCUUUGCGGCCUUCCUUUAUCUACCCACCGCAUUCGUUGUUUAUCGAUCACCUCUUCGGUUCCUUUUACGAUUAAAACAAGGGGAACCACCACUGACCGCACUGGCACAUUUUGCGUUUUCUCGACUUCGUUUCUUCCUUCGUUUCUGACUUGGAUAAGCACGUCGACGGCUUGUUGUGUUUCCCCUCGGACUAGAGAGUCUCGAGAGGUUCCCAAAAGGAAGACCCACCGUCCGUAUGUAUCUGCUCAGAUGCUUCGUUCACAUGAUACCCUUGUUGGAGUGAAGGCUCUGCUGAACCCUAGCCGGAUCGUUUAUUUCUAACCUAAUCAACUUCUACCAGAUCAAAACGAGACAUCUAUAGGGACAUGGAGCUAUAUAUGCAACGGACAGAACUUACCUUGCCUAUACUGUCAGUGCGGGACUCUUCGUUGGCCAAAGACUACAAUGGAACCAAAACUCCGACAUAACAAAGAAGAUAAAAGGUGACCCUCUAGCAUCACCCCUCCUCUCAAGCAAAACCAUAUCUCCGUGGGAACAUUCUCACCGUUGAACUCUAGCUUAAUGACUUCGUUUUAGAUGAUCAAUCAACGACUGGUUCCUUUUUACACGGAACAAUUCACCACCCUCAGAAGUGGACCUAGACUGUAGCAAACGAAAGUUUUGUUACAGUUGAUAUAAGUUAAAAUCCAACACGAUUUAUGAUCUCUGAAGAGG